CACAAGUUUGGAAAAUUUCAUGUAUACAGGAGCCUCACUGAGAGUAUCGGAGACCCCGACAUACAUGAAAGUUUCAGAGACAGGAAAUGAGGUAGAAGUAACCCGGACGACAGAGGAUGAGAUGGCUGGAUGGCAUGACUGACUCGAUGGACG
rnacentral:lncRNA from 1 species